AACGCAUCUUGCGCUCCUUGGUAUUCCGAGGAGCAUGCCUGUUUGAGUGUCAUUUAACUUAUCAACCAUGUUCAUGUCUGAACGUGGCUUGGAUGUGGAGGUUCUUUGCAGGCUCUCUUCAAAAAAGAGUCGGCUCCUCUGAAAUGUAUUAGUGGUAUCUGAGCUGCUACUAUAGGUGUGAUAACUAUCUAUGCCUUUGGUGGGUUGCAUGAACAGAUUGCGCUGCUUAUAACAAAAAAAUAACCUUUUAUGACAAACUUGACCUCAAAUCAGGUAGGACUACCCGCUGAACUUAA
rnacentral:misc_RNA from 1 species